rnacentral:lncRNA from 1 species
GUCCUUUCUAAUCUUCACAAUAAACUAUAACUGUAAGUAAGUGUCUCCCCGAAUUCUGUGAGCAGUCCUAGCCAAUGAAUUGAACCCGAGGAAGAGGUCGUGGGGACCUCUUAGAGGUGAUUGGUCAGAAGCACAGGUCACCACCCAGGGCUUGUGAUUGGCAUCAGAAGCGGGGGCAGUCUUGUGGGACUGAACUCUCACCCUGUGAAAAUCUGACGCUAACUGCAGGUAGGUGGUGUCAGAACUGGGUUAAAUUAUAGGACACCCUGCUGGUGCCCCCUGAGAGCCUCCACCCCCCGCACAUCUGGGCACAGGUGUAUUCUGCGUUGAGUGGUGCGGGAUGUUCAGGAGUGGGGAAACACUCUGCUGUUUCCUGUAUCUUACACAGCAGCUUCGGUCACCCAGAUGUACUCAUGCCCUGCUGAGGCUGUAAAAAUUCCCCACAAAUGUAGUGGCUUAAAAGCACUUAUUAUCUUACAGUUCUGGGGGUCAGAAGUCUGAAGUGGGUCUCACUGGGCUAAGAUGAAGGUGGCAGUGGGGCUGGUUCUUUCUGGAAGCUCUGGGGGUCCCAGAUGCUGGAGGCCUCCCCUCCAUCUUCAAAUCCAGCAGCCUCGCCUUUCCCAGUCUCUCAGCUUCUGUCUGCUUGUCAGCUUCUCUCUUCGGAGGACCCCUGUGAUUCCUUCCAGCCCCUCAGGAUCGUCCCCCACCUCCAGAUGCUGAACUCGGUCUCAGCUGCAAAGUCCCUUUUGCAUAUAAGGGUGGCUCCUCCUGCCUGACACCCUCCUCCCACCCUUCAUCCACCAACUCCUGUGCAUCUCAGGGCCCGCUUGGCUGUUACCUCCCCAGGGAAGACUUCAGGACUGGCCAGGUUCCUGUGGAUGCAACAGAAACAGAUUCUGCUCUCAGGCUUGGGUCUACCCGAGUCAUUGCCGCCGUCUCUGCUACACCGGCUGGGCGCUCCCGUGGGCAUCCGAAGCCCUUGGCACAUAUAUCAGUCCUGGCCCCGACUGCAACCACAGUCCUCAAUGGCUGACUUGCCCGUCGCCUCCCUGCCCCGCCUGCUCCUGGUGACCAGGACCCCACCCUAUUCAGUUGACCACUGUGGGUCAGCAUAGCGCCCAGCCAUGACUGCUCAAAGACCAUGGCACGCAGCAGGGACUUGAGGGGCAGCUCCAAACUCCAGAACGCGAAGAACUCGGUGGUUCCCCACAAGGCAGAUGGAGGGGAAACUGAGGCUGGGAAGCUGAGUCCUUUCUGCCUGGGGCUUCCUCUCUCAAGAAAGGAGGCCGGUGGCGCACAUUUGGAAAAGUGUCUAGCAGUAUCAGCAAAGCUAAACAGAUGCUCACCCCCUGGCCCAGCAAAUCCACCAUGGGUCACACCUGCUGCAAUAAUGAAUUGGGAGUGCAUUAGGCUGAGAUGACGCCAAUACCUUCGGUUCUGACAGAAGCAAACGGAAACCCAACGCAGAGGGAAUGGUCCCAGUCUAGGAAACCAAGAGACUCAAGCAUAACCAAUGAGAAACUGCCAAGUAACCUCUAACUAGGGACUUUCCACUUUAAUUAACCAAAUGUUUUCUUUGUCUUGCUUUUGCAAGCCUCUUAUAAAAGUUUUCCCCUGAUGGCCCCUCGGCAGAGCCUGGGUAGCUCUAGAUCCAGUGCUGCUCAAUUCAUGAACUGCUGAACGUUCAAAUAAACUUAUUGCAAAUUUUAAUGUGCUCAAGUCUGUCUAACAUACCCAGUGGGAAUGAGUGUGGAUGUCCCCCAAGACAUUAUUCCAUGAUCGUCGAGAGAAGCCUUACUUAAGACAGCCUCGAACUGGAAUCACCCCAGUGAAACCCUUUAAGAACUCUGGACACCAAAGCUCGGGAGAGCUUCCAGGCUGGUGAGCACAUGGAUGUCACAGGUAGCUGAGCUGCCUGGUUCCCCAGAGAGAGGACAUGAGGCUCGGUGUUCAGGACUCCCCUUGACCUUGCCCCGCACAUCUCUGCAUCUGGCCGGUGCUGAUCUGUAUAUUUUAUAACAAAACUGUUAUCAUAAGUACAGUGCUUCCCUGAGUUCUGUGAGUUGUUGUAGCAAUUUGUUGAACCUGAGGGGUUUGUGGGAACUCCUGAAUUGGUAGCCAGUCAAAAGUGCAGGUGGCCUGGGGACCCCUGAACUUGUAGCUGGUAUCUGAAGUGGGGGCCGUCUUGUUGGGAACCACAUCCUUAAGCCCGUGGAGUCUGACGCUAACUCUAGGCGGUUGUCAGAACUGAAUUACCAUCCGCCAGUCAGGGUUGAAACAGAAUAUUCAGAAACCCCAUGUAGCUGAGCAGAAAUGUGCUUGAGAAGGGAACCCCACAUCUGUUUAGAAAAUGGUUUUAACACAGAGACAUCCAGAAUUGAGUCUGGCAAUGAUGAAGUAGAUCAAAAUGACAGCAUUUAUGUUUUUGUGCUAAGUUCAGAAAUACACAUCUUUGGCAUUUUAAGAACUUACAAAGUUUAAGAGAAUUUGGCAUAUUUGAGUCUUCACAUCAGACGUGUGAUUCUAAUUUUAAAUGUGCUCUUGAGUCAUUGAUUUCUGAGCCCUUCAAACAACCCAUGAGCUCAACCCAUGAUCCCUUCAACCAACCAGCCUGAUGCUAGUAAUCAGCAUCUGUGAUUGCAAGCUGAAAUCUUACUAAGUUGGUAAACAGUUUUUGAAUAUUUAAAAAUCACCAUAAUUAUACGUUUAAUGUAUUUGAUUUAUGAGAAUCACGUAAGGACUUGGGAAGAUUUGUUAGUCAGAUAAUUGAAAAACUUAGAAAAUGGAAUAUAAUAAAUUUUGACUGCAGCUUAAAAUGUUUAAAGGAAUUUAAAUUAACUAAG